rnacentral:lncRNA from 1 species
AGUGUCACAGACCUUUGUGGAAGCAACAACAGCUCCCAUCCUUCCAACCUUUCUGGAGAAGCCGUGGCCUGAUGGCCCUUUGAUCCCUGAACAGGAUUAUGAGCGGCUGGAGGACUGUGACCCUGAGGGGUCCCAAGACUCACCCAUCCACGGGGAGGAGCAGCAACCCCUGCUUCAUGUCCCUGAAGGGCUCCGAGGCUCCUGGCAUCACAUCCAGAACCUGGACAGUUUCUUCACCAAGAUCUACAGCUACCACCAGCGGAAUGGCUUUGCCUGCAUCUUGCUGGAGGAUGUCUUCCAGCUGGGACAAUUUAUUUUCAUUGUCACCUUCACAACCUUCCUCCUUCGAUGCGUGGAUUACAAUGUUCUCUUUGCCAACCAACCAAGUAACCAUACCAGACCUGGGCCGUUCCACAGCAAAGUGACCCUGUCAGAUGCCAUCCUACCCUCAGCCCAGUGUGCUGAGAGGAUCCGCUCCAGCCCGCUGCUGGUCCUCCUCCUGGUCCUGGCUGCCGGCUUCUGGCUGGUCCAACUGCUUCGCUCAGUCUGCAACCUCUUCAGCUACUGGGACAUCCAGGUGUUUUACAGGGAGGCCCUGCACAUCCCCCCGGUGAGCUGGGUGGCUGUGUCUGUGCAGAGGGUGCCGU